rnacentral:siRNA from 1 species
UUGUCUGGUUGAGUGCAGAAU